GUUAUCAUCAAUGGUUGCCGUUGACAUGCUCAUUUUAUAUGCUUUAAUUGUGAUAAUUUUGAUACAUUAUGUAAAAUCAGCGCAUGAAUUAUUGCAUACUGAUUCGAAUGGCAUAACGUGGGAUCGCGCUCAAGAUGAAUGUAAACCUAAUGGCCUAGAAAGCCGAGAAGAAUACCUCAGGGAAAGUGGCAUUGCUAAUGAACUCGAAUUUUGGAUAGGAAAGGCUAUUUACAGAGUACCAACACGAUGGAUUGAGAUAAUUGGGUGUUUUCAAAUUGAGGACGAUCAUAUCCGCUCAUUUCCUGCAGUGGCAUCGAUUGGAUAUUGUCAACAAAAAUGUUAUUCUGAAAACAUGGGAAGUUAUUUUGGUUACAAACAGCGUAUU